CACUCACUGAGCCUCUUUGGGACUCCACCCACUCAAUGUGCCACCUCAACUACCUCAGUGGAAACACAAACUCUGCCUGACAUGAAAGACAGAGGAGCAUUGAGACCAGAGGAGGUGGGGUGGGGACAGAGUCACUCCCACAGAGGAGUGUCAGAGAGAGAAAACAGGCACACUGAAGUGGAGCACUCAGCAGAAAACUACAGAGUGUGUGUGUUUGUGUGUGUGUGUGUGUGUGUGUGUGUGUGUGUGUGAGAAACAUCAAACCAAAGAACAGGAACGAGAGGAGCAACAAACCAGAGAGCAAGUGACACACAGGGAGCAAACAGAAGAGCAGGGAGAGGGAUUUAAUUCUUCCUGUCAUCUCACAGAACAACAUCAGUACCUCCUAACACUAAUCUCAGCCUGACUGCUAAUCUGGAAGACACGCUGCAGGUUUCCAAAACAAACUAACAAAAGCACAGAGACUCACUCACAGAGCCUGACAGCUCAGGAGUUACCUGCCUUCUCCUCCUCCUCCUCCUCCUCCUCCUCCUCCUAACCAACAACAACUGGUCUGCUUACUCCGGCUCAGUCUGUGCCGGGCUCUGCGUGCGAGAACAACAAACUCUCACAGGAUGGACGCCAAAGAGGAAACGCUGACCCUCCUGAACAGAAUCUGGGUCAAGCUGCUGAAUCUGCCCAACGCCAGCCCGAUAGACCUGGGAGCUUUCUUCGUCCUCUUAGUCUUUAUCUUGGUGGUUGUGCUCAUGGUGGCGCUGACCUGCGUGACCUGCGGUUGCUGCUGCUGCUGCUGUCGCAAGACCAAGACGAAAGGAUCAAACCUCUGAGGGUUGUUUGUCAUGCAGCCCUGCACCCCUGCUGAGUGUCAGAGUCCUGUUUUUUAAAGUGUGAGACAUUUCAACAAGAGAUCGAGCCUCAGUCAGGGUGUGUUGAGUGCGAUCAGGGAAGCCCAACCCUUGAGCAACACACAAAGGAGGAUGUACUGACUCGCUGCCAAACACAGCCGCUAAAGAUGUCAGGGUUUUCAGGAGGAUCUGCAUUCCUAUGGGGAGUCCUUGCACCUUUGCAUCUCUGCAGGAUCACAACAAUGCUUUCAUCCUGUGGCAGAGGGAGGGUCAGCUUGAAGUAUGAGCAGAAACUAUGUGUGGAGAUAUUUACAGAAACAGAGUGUUGCACGGGGGGGGAGGGGGAAAGGAAGCCGUGUUGGUUUAUGAGUGUGUUUCUGUCUUACUUUAGAAUAUGCUGAGUUAGAUAAUGUCCUUAUCAAACAUCACAACAAAGCCUUACAGAGAGCUCAAGUCUGCCCUCUGCUGUGCACAAAUGGAACUGUUCUCAAGUUGUUUUGAAGCAAUGUAUGUAUGUUUUAAAGAAGUUGCACCUUGUGUAUGAAACUGCCUGAUAACUGUGUGCAAAGGGUGAAAGAGUGUAAUAAAAGAAUGAAACUUUGA